GCAUAUAAUAUAUGAGCUUACUGCUGAAAUGCUGAACCUGAUUUUGCCUUUUCUAAAUGCACUUUCAGACAGAGACCCCAGACCACCCCCAGCAUGGCUCUCACCUAAAUCUACCAUUUCUUCACCUGUAACUACACUGCACACUCUCUCAGAAAACCACCUAGAUUCACCCAGCAGACCCCUCAGGAGCACCUUAACAGCAUCAUCUACACCACUGUGGAUUUCAAGCCCCAUGAAGAAGCUUCAGAGCUGUAUGCAAAUUUGUGCCUCUCCAACCCAGGAGCCCUGAGACCUGAUUCAGACAGAGCACUGAAGACCCAGGAGAGCGUGGAGUACUCCACCGUAGCCAGGAUUUUAUAAUACUGGACAUGCCUGCAGUUAGUUGUAGUGUGGUGUGUUUCCUCAAAUAGGGAAUUGAACCCUUGUCUGCUGUGGGAAAGGAACUUUAGAAACCCUGUGCAUGGGUGCAGUGUGGACUAGGUGGGUUCCAGGUGGGCAUGAGCUUCACAAAUAGGCCCCAUCAUUACUAUAUCCCAUGUUAAUCUCAUACUGGUUCCAUCCUGCUCCCCCAGUUACUGAUUGUUUCCACCUGGCUUGUCUAGUAUAAAUACCCCUCAGUUUACCCUGUUCCCUGCUGAGUGUUGAAUCUAGUUAGCUAGCUAUCCUACAACACAUUUCUUUUGAUUUGUUGCCUUUGUUAACGACUUGUUUCUGUUUCCGACUGUCGAUUUUUGCUUUGCCCUCUCUAUUGUUGAUUUCCAUUGCUGAUCCUUUUUUAUAUAUAUAUGACCCUGUUUUGCCUGACUAUGCACUGGUUUCCUUACUGUUACUGACCCUGUUACUAGCCCCUUUGGUAAUAAACACGAGUGUCUGUCGUGUGUCUGGUCA
rnacentral:lncRNA from 1 species